rnacentral:rRNA from 1 species
GCGUGGGAAUCUACCUAGUAGGUUGGGGACAACCUGGUGGAAACCAGGCUAAUACCGAAUACGCCCUACGGGAAAGAUAGCCUCUUCUUGAAAGCUUUCGCUAUUAGAUGAGCCCGCGUUGGAUUAGCUAGUUGGCGGGGUAAAGGCCCACCAAGGCGACGAUCCAUAGCUGGUCUGAGAGGAUGAUCAGCCACACUGGGACUGAGACACGGCCCAGACUCCUACGGGAGGCAGCAGUGGGGAAUAUUGGACAAUGGGCGCAAGCCUGAUCCAGCAAUACCGCGUGUGUGAAGAAGGCCC